AUCGCUUCUCGGUUCGCUGAGAUCAGAUCAUGUGUAGUAUCUGUUCUUUGCAAGGUAAUUUCUGCAACGGUCCCUAAUUUGGGACCAAUGAAAUUCCCUAUAUUUUUCCAACCAUGACGGGUGUUGUGACCUUCCUCAACCUCUAAUUGCAUUUUCUCAAAGAUCAGUCCAC
rnacentral:snRNA from 1 species